UACGGAGGGUGCGAGCGUUAUCCGGAAUUACUGGGUUUAAAGGGUGCGUAGGCGGCUUGGUAAGUCAGGAGUGAAAGUUUGCGGCUCAACCGUAAAAUUGCUUUUGAUACUGCCGGGCUAGAAUUAGGGUGAGGUCAGCGGAAUGUGGCAUGUAGCGGUGAAAUGCAUAGAUAUGCCAUAGAACACCUAUUGCGAAGGCAGCUGGCUAGACCUAUAUUGACGCUGAGGCACGAAAGCGUGGGGAGCGAACAGG
rnacentral:rRNA from 1 species